rnacentral:rRNA from 1 species
GACGAACGCUGGCGGCGUGCUUAACACAUGCAAGUCGAACGGAAAGGCCCUGCUUUUGUGGGGUGCUCGAGUGGCGAACGCGUGAGUAACACGUGUGUAACCUGCCCUUGACUUUGGGAUAACUUCAGGAAACUGGGGCUAAUAUCGGAUAGGAGCUCCUGCUGCAUGGUGGGGGUUGGAAAGUUUCGGCGGUUGGGGAUGGACUCGCGGCUUAUCAGCUUGUUGGUGGGGUAGUGGCUUACCAAGCCUUUGACGGGUAGCCGGCCUGAGAGGGUGACCGGCCACAUUGGGACUGAGAUACGGCCCAGACUCCUACGGGAGGCAGCAGUGGGGAAUAUUGCACAAUGGGCGGAAGCCUGAUGCAGCAACGCCGCGUGCGGGAUGACGGCCUUCGGGUUGUAAACCGCUUUCGCCUGUGACGAAGCGUGAGUGGCGGUAAUGGGUAAAGAAGCACCGGCUAACUACGUG